rnacentral:rRNA from 1 species
CAAAAACAUGGCUCCUUGAAUGGUAAAAAUAUAUAGGGAGUCGGACCUGCCCGGUGACUAAGAAUGUUAAACGGCCGCGGUACCCUAACCGUGCAAAGGUAGCAUAAUCAUUUGCCUUUUAAUUGGAGGCUUGUAUGAAUGGUUUGACGAGGGCUAAGCUGUCUCUUUUAAAAUAUUUAGAAAUUAACUUUUAGGUGAAGAGGCCUAAAUUUGGCUGAGGGACAAGAAGACCCUGUUGAGCUUUAGUUUUAUGCUAAAUGGAUAUUAUGAUAUUUGUAAUAAGCGUGGACCUAGGUGUAAUGGGAUUUUAGUAUGAAUCUUUAGUUGGGGCGACUGAGGAACAGCUAGAGCUUCCUUUGGUUUAGAAGGGCAAGUGUGUGCCGAAAAAUGGUGUAUUCUUGCAGGUUGUUUUGAUCCAGUAGAAUACUGAUUAAAGGAAAAAGUUACCACAGGGAUAACAGCGUAAUCUUUCUGGAGAGAUCUUAUCGAAAGGAGGGUUUGCGACCUCGAUGUUGGACUAAGAUAUCCUAAGGGUGUAGAAGCUCUUGAUGGUUGGUCUGUUCGACCAUUAAAAUCUUACGUGAUCUGAGUUCAGACCGGA